rnacentral:misc_RNA from 1 species
GGAUUUCAUCAACAUACAGCUGGUACACAUCCCUCUUCCAUUUCCUCCUGUUUCCUCAAUACAUGCAUCUCAAUUUAUCCUAGUGAUGUAGGAACUACUAAAUUAUUAAGCAGUGGCACAAUCAGUGAGAAUGAUGCAUGGAAGAAAUGACAGGAAGUAGCUACUUUUAGUUGCACAUUAUAUAGCAAAGACCGAAUUACAGAAGAUCUAAGGCUCCUAUAGCUAUUUUUAAAAUAAUCAUUCAAGCUAUCAAUACUACUUUCAUUCAAAGGGGAGGGCAAUUUGUUCAGCUGCUUUCAAAUGAUUGAUCCUUUUGCAUAGCAGAAAAUAAAGAUUUUGCACUAUAUUCUCUUUGCUUUAUGAUUUCGUCAAUUGUAUGACGUUGAAAAUUUUUGAUCGCAGGAUAAUGUCCGAAACCAACU